GAUUGUUCUGUAUCAAAGCAAGAGGUUGGUUUCUGCUCUUGACAUAGGAUUUUACUAGGAAUGGUGUUUUAAAUCUUCUGAAAUGGAAGGAUAAAAUGGCACCUGAGUCCUCAGCAGUUUGAGGGACAGUUCCCAAAUCCUUCUCAAUGCCCUCUCCCAGUAAAUAUUUGAGAGCUGUGACAGGUCAGGGGUGCUUGAGCAAGCAGAGCCUCCCAAAGGUGUGCAGGGCUUGCUCUGAAAUGUCAGAUAUGUUUGGUGCAGCUUUUUAUUGGGCUGACAGGUGCAGUUAAAGGUGAUUCACAUCCUGAUCAUCAGCUAUGUUUGUCUUUCCUCAGGUUUCAACUGCCCACAGUUAAAGGCAAUAAAUUAGAGAGAAAAUGAGGAAGAGCUGCAGCAGAACUCUGGAGGUAAAGGUGAGGUACUGGGUGUGGGCUGGGGGCUGCUGGAGCUGUCAGGGACUUCCCAGCCAGGGCUCUGGCUUUUAUUUUACAGCUGAGGCAGAGAAACUUCAAUACUGCAGAAAGGUCAGUCAAAACCAAGAGUUUUUUUCUUUUUCAGGGCAAAACAAGACUCUGCAUUCUGGCAGAUAAAGACAGGGCAGAAUGUAUAUUGUUGUAAUUAUAUAAAGUAAAUAGUGUCUGACUUCUAAUUUGUUCCUACAAAAAAUGUAGAAGUCUUGGUGAACCUAGCUGAAAUUGAGGUGGGAAAUGAGCUAAAGUAAUAUGUAUCUAACCAGGAUUUACAGAGCUGAGUAAAUGAGAAAAUGUUUUUCUGUAAACUUCAGCAGAAAUCACAUUAGGUACAUCAGUUCCAGUUCCACAGCAAAGGGGACAGCUGAGCCAACAGUAACAGGUACUUCAUAGUAAAAAAUACUAAAUUUGCUUUUUAAAUGCAUAUGGUUUGAAAACAAAACCAGCCUAUAAAUAAAUGGCCAUAUGCUUCAUCUACUAGUCCAAUUCAGCUUUUUGACAAUUGCUUUGUGUUUUCUGUGAGUACAAAGUGUAGUUACAGCCUCUGCUCUGCAGCAUUUACAGGGUCUGGUGGCCUUCAGAUUCUUUGAGGAGCUGUCCUUGUCCCCAGGAGAGAGAGCUGGCUGGCCUGAGCAGCAACCUGGGCUUUUUGUAAGCAGGCUGCAGCUUUCCUGGCUGUCCCAGGAUGGUGUUUCCACUGGGAUGGAUCAGCUGGAUUUGAAAAGAGCAUUUUCCUGACGGUGGCCUUUGCCAUGGAAUUGUCUCACCACACCCAGCAGCUCCUGCUCUGAGCCCUGUCCCACCUUAAAGAGUUCCCUGUGCUGUGCCCUGGAGUGGAGGAAACACAGGUUGGUGUCACAGCUUGGUCUGAGCUGUGGGACAGCCCUGGUCCUGGAGGGAGCACAAGGAGCAUCUGCACAGAUUGCCUCAGGACUGGCUGAAGAACAGGAGCUAGUCAAGACCAGCUGAGGUCCACAGAGGGAUAGCAUCCCACUCUUCCCAGGGAAAAGUGAUGUGACCUUGUAGUCAUCAGACAGGAGACCCAGAAUAGGAUACUGAUUCCUGUACCUGUGGAGAGUUGAACAGGUCGCUUAACAGAGCCUAAACAAAGGAAAGCCCAAUUGAUGUGUUUUUGAAAAAGGUGAAUAACACGUUACUUUUUAGUGAUGAUGGCUGUCACCCCGGGGGACUGACUGCCCGAUAACUUCUCGUGCUUCAGUCUGAAGAGCUCCUGACAGAACCAAAAGCAAACAUUGAUGUGAAGUCAUGUUUUUUGAAGUAUCAGUUCACUAAAGCCACAAUAAAAUAUUUGCAAAAAUUUGUCUCAACAGUCUGAAAAUCUGCCCUUCCAGAAGGCUGUCAGAGAAACAGCAUUCAGUUAGAACAAAUCCUAACCCCUCUCCUGAGCCAGGAGAGGACAAGGGACUUCCUGCUAAGGUUCCACCUACACAGUACCAUGGAGGCUUAAACACAAAAGCCCUUAGAAGAGAAACAACUUGUAUUAUUUUACCUCUUGCUGUUGUUUAAUAAAAGCCUCUUUGUCCUCCA